CCUACGGGAGGCAGCAGUGAGGAAUAUUGGUCAAUGGGCGCGAGCCUGAACCAGCCAAGUCGCGUGAGGGAUGAAGGUUCUAUGGAUCGUAAACCUCUUUUAUAAGGGAAUAAAGUGUGGGACGUGUCCUAUUUUGUAUGUACCUUAUGAAUAAGGAUCGGCUAACUCCGUGCCAGCAGCCGCGGUAAUACGGAGGAUCCGAGCGUUAUCCGGAUUUAUUGGGUUUAAAGGGUGCGUAGGCGGGCGUUUAAGUCAGUGGUGAAAGUUUGAGGCUCAACCAUAGAAUUGCAGUUGAAACUGGGGGGCUUGAGUAUGGUUGAGGCAGGCGGAAUUCCUGGUGUAGCGGUGAAAUGCGUAGAUAUCAGGAGGAACACCGAUGGCGAAGGCAGCCUGCUGAACUGCAACUGACGUUGAGGCCCGAAAGCGUGGGGAGCAAACAGGAGUAGAUACCCGAGUAGUC
rnacentral:rRNA from 1 species